GAUGAACGCUGGCGGCGUGCCUAAUACAUGCAAGUCGAGCGAACAGACGAGGAGCUUGCUCCUUUGACGUUAGCGGCGGACGGGUGAGUAACACGUGGGUAACCUACCUAUAAGACUGGGAUAACUUCGGGAAACCGGAGCUAAUACCGGAUAAUAUUUCGAACCGCAUGGUUCGAUAGUGAAAGAUGGCUUUGCUAUCACUUAUAGAUGGACCUGCGCCGUAUUAGCUAGUUGGUAAGGUAACGGCUUACCAAGGCAACGAUACGUAGCCGACCUGAGAGGGUGAUCGGCCACACUGGAACUGAGACACGGUCCAGACUCCUACGGGAGGCAGCAGUAGGGAAUCUUCCGCAAUGGGCGAAAGCCUGACGGAGCAACGCCGCGUGAGUGAUGAAGGUCUUCGGAUCGUAAAACUCUGUUAUUAGGGAAGAACAAACGUGUAAGUAACUGUGCACGUCUUGACGGUACCUAAUCAGAAAGCCACGGCUAACUACGUGCCAGCAGCCGCGGUAAUACGUANGUGGCAAGCGUUAUCCGGAAUUAUUGGGGCGUAAAGCGCGCGUAGCGGUUUUUUAAGUCUGAUGUGAAAGCCCACGGCUCAACCGUGGAGGGUCAUUGGAAACUGGAAAACUUGAGUGCAGAAGAGGAAAGUGGAAUUCCAUGUGUAGCGGUGAAAUGCGCAGAGAUAUGGAGGAACACCAGUGGCGAAGGCGACUUUCUGGUCUGUAACUGACGCUGAUGUGCGAAAGCGUGGGGAUCAAACAGGAUUAGAUACCCUGGUAGUCCACGCCGUAAACGAUGAGUGCUAAGUGUUAGGGGGUUUCCGCCCCUUAGUGCUGCAGCUAACGCAUUAAGCACUCCGCCUGGGGAGUACGACCGCAAGGUUGAAACUCAAAGGAAUUGACGGGGACCCGCACAAGCGGUGGAGCAUGUGGUUUAAUUCGAAGCAACGCGAAGAACCUUACCAAAUCUUGACAUCCUUUGACCCUUCUAGAGAUAGAAGUUUCCCCUUCGGGGGACAAAGUGACAGGUGGUGCAUGGUUGUCGUCAGCUCGUGUCGUGAGAUGUUGGGUUAAGUCCCGCAACGAGCGCAACCCUUAAGCUUAGUUGCCAUCAUUAAGUUGGGCACUCUAAGUUGACUGCCGGUGACAAACCGGAGGAAGGUGGGGAUGACGUCAAAUCAUCAUGCCCCUUAUGAUUUGGGCUACACACGUGCUACAAUGGACAAUACAAAGGGCAGCGAAACCGCGAGGUCAAGCAAAUCCCAUAAAGUUGUUCUCAGUUCGGAUUGUAGUCUGCAACUCGACUACAUGAAGCUGGAAUCGCUAGUAAUCGUAGAUCAGCAUGCUACGGUGAAUACGUUCCCGGGUCU
rnacentral:rRNA from 1 species